rnacentral:tRNA from 1 species
AAUUUUUUAGUCAUUUUGAUUUU